rnacentral:lncRNA from 11 species
CUUGUGACAUGUGUCUUCUUUAAACAUUGCUGAUAAGAUGGAGGUGGAGGGCUGCGGUGAGAACAACUCCUCAGAAGAAACUGGGAGCUGCGCAAGGAAGAUAAUAGAAGGCCAUCUACCUAGCAUUUUAGACACACUUGAUUAUUAUCUCCGGUCAGGGGAAGGUCCAUCAUUGUUAGCUGAAGGUGAUUCAGCAAUAAACAAAUGACACAGUGC